AAAAAGACAAACUCUAGGUUUCCAUGUCCAACGUUUGACUGUCCGUCUUAUAUGAAUUUUUUUUAUAAUUAGUAUUUUCAUUGUUGUUAGAUGAUAAAAUAUGAUUAAUACUUUAUGCGUGACUUGUCUUUUUAAUUUUUUUUAUAAUUUUUUCAAAUAAGACGGACGGUCAAACGUUGGACACGGAAAUCAGGGUU
rnacentral:pre_miRNA from 1 species